UGGUUCCUCUGUGUUCUGGUCCUCAGUGU
rnacentral:piRNA from 1 species